rnacentral:rRNA from 1 species
UACGAAUGGGGCUAGCGUUGCUCGGAAUCACUGGGCGUAAAGGGUGCGUAGGCGGGUUUUUAAGUCAGGGGUGAAAUCCUGGAGCUCAACUCCAGAACUGCCUUUGAUACUGAAGAUCUUGAGUUCGGGAGAGGUGAGUGGAACUGCGAGUGUAGAGGUGAAAUUCGUAGAUAUUCGCAAGAACACCAGUGGCGAAGGCGGCUCACUGGCCCGGAACUGACGCUGAGACGCGAAAGCGUGGGGAGCAAACAGG